rnacentral:rRNA from 1 species
AGGACGAACGCUGGCGGCGUGCUUAAGACAUGCAAGUCGAACGGAUCUGGUCCUUCGGACCAGGUUAGUGGCGGACGGGUGAGUAAUGCGUAGGAAUCUACCCACGAGUGGGGGAGUAGCCCGGAGAAAUCCGGAUUAAUACCGCAUAUGCCUACGGGUAAAGCGGGGAGUCGUAAGACCUCGCGCUGGUGGAUGAGCCUACGUCCGAUUAGUUAGUUGGUGGGUAAAGGCCUACCAAGGCUACGAUCGGUAGCUGGUCUGAGAGGACGACCAGCCACACUGGGACUGAGACACGGCCCAGACUCCUACGGGAGGCAGC